rnacentral:rRNA from 1 species
UACGUAGGGGGCUAGCGUUGUCCGGAAUCAUUGGGCGUAAAGCGCGUGUAGGCGGUUCGGUAAGUCCGCUGUGAAAGUCGGGGGCUCAACCCUCGAAUGCCGGUGGAUACUGUCGAACUAGAGUGCGGAAGAGGCGAGUGGAAUUCCUGGUGUAGCGGUGAAAUGCGCAGAUAUCAGGAGGAACACCAAUUGCGAAGGCAGCCCCUGGGAUAACACUGACGCUCAUGCACGAAAGCGUGGGGAGCAAACAGG